rnacentral:rRNA from 1 species
AAACGAUAGAGAAAGCUUGCUUUUUCUAGGCGUCGACCGGCGCACGGGUGAGUAACGCGUAUCCAACCUGCCCACCACUUGGGAAUAACCUUGCGAAAGUAAGACUAAUACCCAAUGAUAUCUCUAGAAGACAUCUGAAAGAGAUUAAAGAUUUAUCGGUGAUGGAUGGGGAUGCGUCUGAUUAGCUUGUUGGCGGGGUAACGGCCCACCAAGGCGACGAUCAGUAGGGGUUCUGAGAGGAAGGUCCCCCACAUUGGAACUGAGACACGGUCCAAACUCCUACGGGAGGCAGCAGUGAGGAAUAUUGGUCAAUGGGCGAGAGCCUGAACCAGCCAAGUAGCGUGCAGGAUGACGGCCCUAUGGGUUGUAAACUGCUUUUUAUAAGGGAAUAAAGUGAGUCUCGUGAGACUUUUUGCAUGUACCUUAUGAAUAAGGACCGGCUAAUUCCGUGCCAGCAGCCGCGGUAAUACGGAAGGUCCGGGCGUUAUCCGGAUUUAUUGGGUUUAAAGGGAGCGUAGGCCGGAGAUUAAGCGUGUUGUGAAAUGUAGACGCUCAACGUCUGCACUGCAGCGCGAACUGGUUUCCUUGAGUACGCACAAAGUGGGCGGAAUUCGUGGUGUAGCGGUGAAAUGCUUAGAUAUCACGAAGAACUCCGAUUGCGAAGGCAGCUCACUGGAGCGCAACUGACGCUGAAGCUCGAAAGUGCGGGUAUCGAACAGGAUUAGAUACCCUGGUAGUCCGCACGGUAAACGAUGGAUGCCCGCUGUUGGUCUGAAUAGGUCAGCGGCC